GGAAACCUACCUCUUAGCAGGGGAUAACAUUUGGAAACAGAUGCUAAUACCGUAUAACAAUGACAACCGCUGGUUGUUAUUUAAAAGAUGGUUCUGCUAUCACUAAGAGAUGGUCCCGCGGUGCAUUAGCUAGUUGGUAAGGUAAUGGCUUACCAAGGCGAUGAUGCAUAGCCAUUGAGAGACUGAUCGGCCACAAUGGGACUGAGACACGGCCCAUACUCCUACGGGAGGCAGCAGUAGGGAAUCUUCCACAAUGGGCGAAAGCCUGAUGGAGCAACGCCCGUGUGUGAUGAAGGGUUUCGGCUCGUAAAACACUGUUGUAAGAGAAGAAUGACAUUGAGAGUAACUGUUCAAUGUGUGACGGUAUCUUACCAGAAAGGAACGGCUAAAUACGUGCCAGCAGCCGCGGUAAUACGUAUGUUCCAAGCGUUAUCCGGAUUUAUUGGGCGUAAAGCGAGCGCAGACGGUUAUUUAAGUCUGAUGUGAAAGCCCUCA
rnacentral:rRNA from 1 species